AUGAUAAGAAAAAACUGCUUUUAUCUUCAAUUUAAGGUAAAGAAAGAAAGAAUGAGUGCUAAAAUUCCAAUCUCGUCUUUUAUAAAUUCUAAACCGCCUGGCCCUGCAGUUGUCCAAAGGAGACAAAUAAAUGAGAGCACUAGGGCACAGUUUGUAGAAAUGAUAAACCCUGAAAACGUCUCUGGUGCCAAUGUUGAUGAAAUGCUGAAUUCUGUUACUUCUAGCAUCUUGAAUGUUCUGGAUGCCAUUGCCCCUAUGAAAGUUAAAUUGAGAAAACAUAGACAGAAAGCUCCCUGGAGGAAUGAUGAUCUAGUCAGGGCACAGAAACAACAGUGCCGCAGAGCCGAGCGAAAGUGGCGCAAGUCAAAACUCCAGGUUCAUUAUGAAAUAUAUAAGGCGGAGUUGUACGCUUACAACCAGAUCUUAUGCAGAACAAGGGAAAGGUACUUCUCUGAAAUAAUUGGAAGUUGCAGCAGCAACUCUCGUAUCCUGUUCACAACAGUUAACAGAUUAACUAACCCUCCAAUCCAGCUACCAAUAGAACUGGUUUGUACACCUAAAUGUAAUGAGUUUGCUGUAUUUUUCAAUGACAAGGUUCAGGGCAUUAAAAAAGCCAUCAACUCCACAACACAUAUAACUAUCCAACGGCCACCUACUCACUCUAAGCUGACUCACUUUGUACCUGUCACUGACCAAAUUGUCCAAGAGACCAUCACCCGUCUGAGCUCGUCUACAUGCUGCCUUGAUGUGUUACCCACUAGAUUUCUAAAGUCUGUCUUGAACAGUGUGUUGCCAUCAAUUACUCAAAUAGUUAACAUGUCUCUUCAAUCUGGAAUAUUUCCAGAGGCCUUAAAAACUGCAGUCAUUAAACCCCUCCUGAAAAAGAGCGGUCUUGAUCCCACUGUACUGAAUAAUUACAGACCUAUCUCUAAUCUCCCAUUUUUAGGAAAAGUCUUUGAAAAAGUUGUCUACCAACAGCUCACUGACUUUCUCUUAUUAAACAAUUCAUUUGAUGUUUUCCAGUCAGGUUUUAGACCGCAUCAUAGCACAGAAACUGCUCUUAUCAAGGUAACCAAUGACAUCCGCCUGAACACUGAUGAUGGAAAAGUCUCUGUCUUAAUCCUGCUAGACCUGAGCGCUGCCUUUGAUACUGUUGAUCAUGGGAUCCUUUUGCACAGACUCCAAGACUAG
rnacentral:lncRNA from 1 species